UACGUAGGUGGCAAGCGUUGUCCGGAAUUAUUGGGCGUAAAGGGUGCGCAGGCGGCCGGGUGUGUCAGAUGUGAAAUCCCGAGGCUCAACCUCGGAACUGCGUCUGAAACUACUCGGCUAGAGUACUGGAGAGGGUAACGGAAUUCACGGUGUAGCAGUGAAAUGCGUAGAUAUCGUGAGGAACACCAGAGGCGAAGGCGGUUACCUGGACAGUUACUGACGCUCAGGCACGAAAGCAUGGGGAGCAAAAGGG
rnacentral:rRNA from 1 species